rnacentral:rRNA from 1 species
AUUGAACGCUGGCGGCAGGCCUAACACAUGCAAGUCGAGCGGUAGCACAGGGAGCUUGCUCCUGGGUGACGAGCGGCGGACGGGUGAGUAAUGUCUGGGAAACUGCCUGAUGGAGGGGGAUAACUACUGGAAACGGUAGCUAAUACCGCAUAACGUCGCAAGACCAAAGAGGGGGACCUUCGGGCCUCUUGCCAUCAGAUGUGCCCAGAUGGGAUUAGCUAGUAGGUGGGGUAACGGCUCACCUAGGCGACGAUCCCUAGCUGGUCUGAGAGGAUGACCAGCCACACUGGAACUGAGACACGGUCCAGACUCCUACGGGAGGCAGCAGUGGGGAAUAUUGCACAAUGGGCGCAAGCCUGAUGCAGCCAUGCCGCGUGUAUGAAGAAGGCCUUCGGGUUGUAAAGUACUUUCAGCGGGGAGGAAGGUGUUGAGGUUAAUAACCUCAGCAAUUGACGUUACCCGCAGAAGAAGCACCGGCUAACUCCGUGCCAGCCGCCGCCGUAAGAC